UGAUUGAUGGUGCUUGCACCUGAUUGAUUUUCGUUGCCAACGAGUGGCGGACGGGUGAGUAACACGUAGGUAACCUGCCCAGAAGCGGGGGACAACAUUUGGAAACAGAUGCUAAUACCGCAUAACAGCGUUGUUCGCAUGAACAACGCUUAAAAGAUGGCUUCUCGCUAUCACUUCUGGAUGGACCUGCGGUGCAUUAGCUUGUUGGUGGGGUAACGGCCUACCAAGGCGAUGAUGCAUAGCCGAGUUGAGAGACUGAUCGGCCACAAUGGGACUGAGACACGGCCCAUACUCCUACGGGAGGCAGCAGUAGGGAAUCUUCCACAAUGGGCGCAAGCCUGAUGGAGCAACACCGCGUGAGUGAAGAAGGGUUUCGGCUCGUAAAGCUCUGUUGUUAAAGAAGAACACGUAUGAGAGUAACUGUUCAUACGUUGACGGUAUUUAACCAGAAAGUCACGGCUAACUACGUGCCAGCAGCCGCGGUAAUACGUAGGUGGCAAGCGUUAUCCGGAUUUAUUGGGCGUAAAGAGAGUGCAGGCGGUUUUCUAAGUCGGAUGUGAAAGCCUUCGGCUUAACCGGAGAAGUGCAUCGGAAACUGGAUAACUUGAGUGCAGAAGAGGGUAGUGGAACUCCAUGUGUAGCGGUGGAAUGCGUAGAUAUAUGGAAGAACACCAGUGGCGAAGGCGGCUACCUGGUCUGCAACUGACGCUGAGACUCGAAAGCAUGGGUAGCGAACAGGAUUAGAUACCCUGGUAGUCCAUGCCGUAAACGAU
rnacentral:rRNA from 1 species